AUUGAACGCUGGCGGCAGGCCUAACACAUGCAAGUCGAACGAGUGGCGGACGGGUGAGUAAUGUCUGGGAAACUGCCUGACGGAGGGGGAUAACUACUGGAAACGGUAGCUAAUACCGCAUACCACAGGAUGUGCCCAGAUGGGAUUAGCUAGUAGGUGGGGUAACGGCUCACCUAGGCGACGAGCCCUAGCUGGUCUGAGAGGCUGACCAGCCACACUGGAACGGAGACCAGGUCCAGACUCCUACGGGAGGCAGCAGUAGGGAAUAUUGGACAAUGGGCGAAAGCCUGAUGCAGCCAUGCCGCGUGUAUGAAGAAGGCCUUCGGGUUGUAAAGUACUUUCGGCGGGGAGGCGUUACCCGCAGAAGAAGCACCGGCUAACUCCGUGCCAGCAGCCGCGGUAAUAC
rnacentral:rRNA from 1 species